rnacentral:rRNA from 1 species
UACGAAGGGGGCGAGCGUUGUUCGGAAUUACUGGGCGUAAAGGGCGCGCAGGCGGCCAUAGAAGUCAGGCGUGAAAGCCCCGGGCUUAACCUGGGAAAUGCGUUUGAGACUCUAAGGCUUGAGUUCGGGAGAGGUGAGUGGAAUUCCCAGUGUAGAGGUGAAAUUCGUAGAUAUUGGGAAGAACACCGGUGGCGAAGGCGGCUCACUGGCUCGUAUCUGACGCUCAGGCGCGACAGCGUGGGGAUCAAACAGG